UUAGUUGAAGCCAAAGGGGAGGCGUUUUAAUGUUAAUAAAAAGAAUGAAUUUAUUUCCAACUAAA
rnacentral:tRNA from 1 species